AUGAACGCUGGCGGCGUGCCUAAUACAUGCCCGUCGAGCGAACGGACGAGAAGCUUGCUUCUCUGAUGUUAGCGGCGGACGGGUGAGUAACACGUGGAUAACCUACCUAUAAGACUGGGAUAACUUCGGGAAACCGGAACUAAUACCGGAUGAUAUUUUGAACCGCAUGGUUCAAAAGUGAAAGACGGUCUUGCUGUCACUUAUAGAUGGAUCCGCGCUGCAUUAGCUAGUUGGUAAGGUAACGGCUUACCAAGGCAACGAUGCAUAGCCGACCUGAGAGGGUGAUCGGCCACACUGGAACUGAGACACGGUCCAGACUCCUACGGGAGGCAGCAGUAGGGAAUCUUCCGCAAUGGGCGAAAGCCUGACGGAGCAACGCCGCGUGAGUGAUGAAGGUCUUCGGAUCGUAAAACUCUGUUAUUAGGGAAGAGCAUAUGUGUAAGUAACUGUGCACAUCUUGACGGUACCUAAUCAGAAAGCCACGGCUAACUACGUG
rnacentral:rRNA from 1 species